rnacentral:rRNA from 1 species
AUUGAACGCUGGCGGCAUGCCUUACACAUGCAAGUCGAACGGCAGCACGGGUGCUUGCACCUGGUGGCGAGUGGCGAACGGGUGAGUAAUACAUCGGAACAUGUCCUGUAGUGGGGGAUAGCCCGGCGAAAGCCGGAUUAAUACCGCAUACGAUCUACGGAUGAAAGCGGGGGACCUUCGGGCCUCGCGCUAUAGGGUUGGCCGAUGGCUGAUUAGCUAGUUGGUGGGGUAAAGGCCUACCAAGGCGACGAUCAGUAGCUGGUCUGAGAGGACGACCAGCCACACUGGGACUGAGACACGGCCCAGACUCCUACGGGAGGCAGCAGUGGGGAAUUUUGGACAAUGGGCGAAAGCCUGAUCCAGCAAUGCCGCGUGUGUGAAGAAGGCCUUCGGGUUGUAAAGCACUUUUGUCCGGAAAGAAAUCCUUGGCUCUAAUACAGUCGGGGGAUGACGGUACCGGAAGAAUAAGCACCGGCUAACUACGUGCCAGCAGCCGCGGUAAUACGUAGGGUGCGAGCGUUAAUCGGAAUUACUGGGCGUAAAGCGUGCGCAGGCGGUUUGCUAAGACCGAUGUGAAAUCCCCGGGCUCAACCUGGGAACCGCAUUGGUGACUGGCAGGCUAGAGUAUGGCAGAGGGGGGUAGAAUUCCACGUGUAGCAGUGAAAUGCGUAGAAAUGUGGAGGAAUACCGAUGGCGAAGGCAGCCCCCUGGGCCAAUACUGACGCUCAUGCACGAAAGCGUGGGGAGCAAACAGG